GACGAAGGGGGCUAGCGUUGUUCGGAAUUACUGGGCGUAAAGCGAGUGUAGGCGGUUGCCCAAGUCAGGUGUGAAAGCCUUGAGCUCAACUCAAGAAAUGCACUUGGUACUGGGUGGCUAGAGGACCGGAGAGGAUAGUGGAAUUCCCAGUGUAGUGGUGAAAUACGUAGAGAUUGGGAAGAACACCAGUGGCGAAGGCGGCUAUCUGGACGGUUACUGACGCUAAGACUCGAAAGCGUGGGGAGCAAACAAG
rnacentral:rRNA from 1 species